UACGUAGGGUGCAAGCGUUUGUCCGGAAUUAUUGGGCGUAAAGAGCUCGUAGGCGGUCUGUUGCGUCGGCUGUGAAAACCCGGGGCUCAACUCCGGGCCUGCAGCCGAUACGGGCAGACUAGAGUUCGGCAGGGGAGACUGGAAUUCCUGGUGUAGCGGUGAAAUGCGCAGAUAUCAGGAGGAACACCGGUGGCGAAGGCGGGUCUCUGGGCCGAUACUGACACUGAGGAGCGAAAGCGUGGGGAGCGAACAGG
rnacentral:rRNA from 1 species